GAAUUAUUGGGCGUAAAGCGCGCGCAGGCGGUUCUUUAAGUCUGAUGUGAAAGCCCACGGCUCAACCGUGGAGGGUCAUUGGAAACUGGGGAACUUGAGUGCAGGAGAGAAAAGUGGAAUUCCACGUGUAGCGGUGAAAUGCGUAGAGAUGUGGAGGAACACCAGUGGCGAAGGCGGCUUUUUGGCCUGUAACUGACGCUGAGGCGCGAAAGCGUGGGGAGCAAACAGGAUUAGAUACCCUGGUAGUCCACGCCGUAAACGAUGAGUGCUAGGUGUUGGGGGGUUCCACCCUCAGUGCUGACGUUAACACAUUAAGCACUCCGCCUGGGGAGUACGGCCGCAAGGCUGAAACUCAAAGGAAUUGACGGGGGCCCGCACAAGCAGUGGAGCAUGUGGUUUAAUUCGAAGCAACGCGAAGAACCUUACCAGGUCUUGACAUCCUCUGACCACUUGAGAGAUCAAGCUUUCCCCUUCGGGGGACAGAGUGACAGGUGGUGCAUGGUUGUCGUCAGCUCGUGUCGUGAGAUGUUGGGUUAAGUCCCGCAACGAGCGCAACCCUUGACCUUAGUUGCCAGCAUUCAGUUGGGCACUCUAAGGUGACUGCCGGUGACAAACCGGAGGAAGGUGGGGAUGACGUCAAAUCAUCAUGCCCCUUAUGACCUGGGCUACACACGUGCUACAAUGGGUGGUACAAAGGGUUGCGAAGCCGCGAGGCCGAGCCAAUCCCAAAAAGCCACUCUCAGUUCGGAUUGUAGGCUGCAACUCGCCUACAUGAAGCCGGAAUUGCUAGUAAUCNCNGA
rnacentral:rRNA from 1 species